UCAAACUUGGUCAUUUAGAGGAAGUAAAAGUCGUAACAAGGUUUCCGUAGGUGAACCUGCGGAAGGAUCAUUAUCGGGAUGGCCCUCGCGGCCGAACCUGUCACCCCAUGUUGUGAUGCCACCUCUGUUUCUUUGGCGGGGCGACCCGUCAGAAGACCUCUCCAACUCGGUGAAAACGUGUCGUCUGAAGAAGUGAUGAAAAUCAAUCAAAACUUUCAACAACGGAUCUCUUGGUUCUGGCAUCGAUGAAGAACGCAGC
rnacentral:misc_RNA from 1 species